rnacentral:rRNA from 1 species
AAACCAACAGGGAUUGCCUUAGUAGCGGCGAGUGAAGCGGCAAUAGCUCAAAUUUGAAAUCUGGCACCUUCGGUGUCCGAGUUGUAAUUUGAAGAAGGUAUCUUUGGUUUUGGCUCUUGUCUAUGUUCCUUGGAACAGGACGUCACAGAGGGUGAGAAUCCCGUGCGAUGAGAUGCCCAAUUCCAUGUAAAGUUCCUUCGACGAGUCGAGUUGUUUGGGAAUGCAGCUCUAAGUGGGUGGUAAAUUCCAUCUAAAGCUAAAUAUUGGCGAGAGACCGAUAGCGAACAAGUACUGUGAAGGAAAGAUGAAAAGAACUUUGAAAAGAGAGUGAAAAAGUACGUGAAAUUGUUGAAAGGGAAGGGCUUGAGAUCAGACUUGGAAUUUUCCAGUAAUGGAGCUUUCCGGGCCAGCAUCAGUUUGGAUGGCAGGAUAAUUGCGUAGAAAAGUAGCUCUACUUCGGUGGAGUGUUAUAGUCUGCGUCGAUACUGCCUGUCUAGACUGAGGACUGCGUCUUGACUAGGA